CCGAACCCCACCGAACGCGUCCGCCGCCUCCCGAUCCCGCCCCGCGGUCCCCCCCGGGGCAUGAACCGCCCCCCGGCGGGCCGAAACCGGCCAAACCGGCAAAACCGCCCCGAUCAUGCCCGUUUUUCGGCGUUCAAACCGCCGCGCGGCUACCCCCCCAUCCCGAUGCCCCCGGACCCCUGGUCCCGUGGGACCUGACGGAAACGGAGUCGGAUGCCCGGAUCAUGAGAUACGCCCAAAACCGUCUAAACCUACUGAGCGCACCCCGAACAUGCCCAUUUUUCGGCGUCCAAACCGCCGCGCGGCUACCCCCCCAUCCCGAUGCCCCCGGAACCCUGGUCCCGCGGGACCCGACGGAAACGGAAUCGGAGGCCCGGAUCAUGAGUUACGGCCCCUUCUUUGCGGCCCCCGAGGACGUGCGCUAUAGCCCCCCGGGCCACCCCCCAUCCGGCCGCACCCGCCCGAACCCCACCGAAUGCGUCCGCCGCCUCCCGAUCCCGCCCCGCGGUCCCCCCCGGGGCAUGAACCGCCCCCCGGCGGGCCGAAACCGGCCAAACCGGCUAAACCGCCCCGAUCAUGCCCAUUUUUCGGCGUUCAAACCGCCGUACGGCUACCCCCCCCAUCCCGAUGCCCCCGGACCCCUGGUCCCGUGGGACCUGACGGAAACGGAAUCGGAUGCUCGGAUCAUGAGAUACGCCCAAAACCGUCUAAACCUACUGAGCGCACCCCGAACAUGCCCAUUUUUCGGCGUUCAAACCGCCGCGCGGCUACCCCCCCAUCCCGAUGCCCCCGGAACCCUGGUCCCGCGGGACCCGACGGAAACGGAAUCGGAGGCCCGGAUCAUGAGUUACGGCCCCUUCUUUGCGGCCCCCGAGGACGUGCGCUAUAGCCCCCCGGGCCACCCCCCAUCCGGCCGCACCCGCCCGAACCCCACCGAACGCGUCCGCCGCCUCCCGAUCCCGCACUGCGGUCCUCCCCGGGGCAUGAACCGCCCCCCGACGGGCCGAAACCGGCCAAACCGGCUAAACCGCCCCGAUCAUGCCCAUUUUUCGGCGUUCAAACCGCCGCACUGCUACCCCCCCAUCCCGAUGCCCCCGGACCCCUGGUCCCGUGGGACCUGACGGAAACGGAAUCGGAUGCUCGGAUCAUGAGAUACGCCCAAAACCGUCUAAACCUACUGAGCGCACCCCGAACAUGCCCAUUUUUCGGCGUUCAAACCGCCGCGCGGCUACCCCCCCAUCCCGAUGCCCCCGGAACCCUGGUCCCGCGGGACCCGACGGAAACGGAAUCGGAGGCCCGGAUCAUGAGUUACGGCCCCUUCUUUGCGGCCCCCGAGGACGUGCGCUAUAGCCCCCCGGGCCACCCCCCAUCCGGCCGCACCCGCCCGAACCCCACCGAACGCGUCCGCCGCCUCCCGAUCCCGCCCCGCGGUCCCCCCCGGGGCAUGAACCGCCCCCCGGCGGGCCGAAACCGGCCAAACCGGCUAAACCGCCCCGAUCAUGCCCAUUUUUCGCCGUUCAAACCGCCGCACGGUUACCCCCCCAUCCCGAUGCCCCCCGACCCCUGGUCCCGUGGGACCUGACGGAAACGGAAUCGGAUGCUCGGAUCAUGAGAUACGCCCAAAACCGUCUAAACCUACUGAGCGCACCCCGAACAUGCCCAUUUUUCGGCGUUCAAACCGCCGCGCGGCUACCCCCCCAUCCCGAUGCCCCCGGAACCUUGGUCCCGUGGGACCUGACGGAAACGGAAUCGGAUGCUCGGAUCAUGAGAUACGCCCAAAACCGUCUAAACCUACUGAGCGCACCCCGAACAUGCCCAUUUUUCGGCGUUCAAACCGCCGCGCGGCUACCCCCCCAUCCCGAUGCCCCCGGAAACCCUGGUCCCGCGGGACCCGACGGAAACGGAAUCGGAGGCCCGGAUCAUGAGUUACGGCCCCUUCUUUGCGGCCCCCGAGGACGUGCGCUAUAGCGAGGACGUGCGCUCCCCCAUCCGGCCGCACCCGCCCGAACCCCACCGAACGCGUCCGCCGCCUCCCGAUCCCGCCCCGCGGUCCCCCCCGGGGCAUGAACCGGCCCCCGGCGGGCCGAAACCGGCCAAACCGGCUAAACCGCCCCGAUCAUGCCCAUUUUUCGGCGUUCAAACCGCCGCACGGCUACCCCCCCAUCCCGAUGCCCCCGGACCCCUGGUCCCGUGGGACCUGACGGAAACGGAAUCAGAUGCUCGGAUCAUGAGAUACGCCCAAAACCAUCUAAACCUACUGAGCGCACCCCGAACAUGCCCAUUUUUCGGCGUUCAAACCGCCGCGCGGCUACCCCCCCAUCCCGAUGCCCCCGGAACCCUGGUCCCGCGGGACCCGACGGAAACGGAAUCGGAGGCCCGGAUCAUGAGUUACGGCCCCUUCUUUGCGGCCCCCGAGGACGUGCGCUAUAGCCCCCCGGGCCACCCCCCAUCCGGCCGCACCCGCCCGAACCCCACCGAACGCGUCCGCCGCCUCCCGAUCCCGCCCCGCGGUCCCCCCCGGGGCAUGAAUCGGCCCCCGGCGGGCCGAAACCGGCCAAACCGGCUAAACCGCCCCGAUCAUCCCAUUUCUCGGCGUUCAAACCGCCGCACGGCUACCCCCCCAUCGCGAUGCCCCCGGACCCCUGGUCCCGUGGGACCUGACGGAAACGGAAUCGGAUGCUCGGAUCAUGAGAUACGCCCAAAACCGUCUAAACCUCAUGAACGCACCCCGAACAUGCCCAUUUUUCGGCGUUCAAACCGCCGCGCGGCUACCCCCCCAUCCCGAUGCCCCCGGAACCCUGGUCCCGCGGGACCCGACGGAAACGGAAUCGGAGGCCCGGAUCAUGAGUUACGGCCCCUUCUUUGCGGCCCCCGAAGACGUGCGCUAUAGCCCCCCGGGCCACCCCCCAUCCGGCCGCACCCGCCCGAACCCCACCGAAUGCGUCCGCCGCCUCCCGAUCCCGCCCCGAGGUCCCCCCCGGGGCAUGAACCGCCCCCCGGUGGGCCGAAACCGGUCUAACCGGCUUAACCGCCCCGAUCAUGCCCUUUUUUCGGCGUUCAACCCCCGCGCGGCUACCCCCCCAUCCCGAUGCCCCCGGACCCCUGGUCCCGGGGGACCUGACGGAAACGGAAUCGGAUGCCCGGAUCAUGAGAUACGCCCAAAACCGUCUAAACCUACUGAGCGCACCCCGAACAUGCCCAUUUUUCGGCGUUCAAACCGCCGCGCGGCUACCCCCCCAU
rnacentral:lncRNA from 1 species